rnacentral:rRNA from 1 species
AUACGGAGGGUGCAAGCGUUGUCCGGAUUUACUGGGUUUAAAGGGUCCGUAGGCGGGUCUUUAAGUCAGUGGUGAAAUCCUACGGCUCAACCGUAGAACUGCCAUUGAUACUGAAGAUCUUGAGUAUAGUUGAGGUAGGCGGACUUUAUGAUGUAGCGGUGAAAUGCAUAGAUAUCAUAAAGAACACCAAUUGCGAAGGCAGCUUACUAAACUAUUACUGACGCUCAGGGACGAAAGCGUGGGGAGCGAACAGGAUUAGAAACCCCAGUAGUCC